rnacentral:rRNA from 1 species
AAUAAACGCUGGCGGCGUGCAUAACACAUGCAAGUCUAACGGGAAUGUCGGCUUCGGCUGGCUAGUACCGUGGCGAACGGGUGAGUAACACGUGGGUAAUCUAACCUUGAGUUUGGGAUAACCUUGCGAAAGCGGGGCUAAUACCGAAUAAGACCACGCUCUGUUUGCAGAGUGCGGUAAAAGGCGGCCUCUUCUUGAAAGCUGUCACUUGGGGAUGAGCCCGCGUCCUAUUAGCUAGUUGGUGGGGUAAUGGCCUACCAAGGCGACGAUGGGUAGCCGGCCUGAGAGGGUGUACGGCCACACUGGCACUGAGAUACGGGCCAGACUCCUACGGGAGGCAGCAGUGGGGAAUUUUGCGCAAUGGGGGAAACCCUGACGCAGCAACGCCGCGUGAGUGAUGAAGGCCUUCGGGUCGUAAAGCUCUUUUAGUGGGGAAGAAUCCCACCCGGGCUAAUACCUCGGGUGUCUGAC